rnacentral:lncRNA from 1 species
CUCGGUGCCCUGGAGGACCUGGCCGGCUCCGCGGGAAGCUGUACUCAGAGCGCGCGGCCGCCCUCUGGCAGGGAGGAGUUCGUUGCACUUUUGAGGGUUCUUCACGAAGACAUCCAAUACAUAGAAAACAAGUAACAGCAACAGUAACGAAUUUUUAAAUAUUAAAAUUGCUGGGGAACACGACGGAUCCUGCAGCUGCUCGGCUGUCCCGGUCGUCAGUGACGCUAGGGCUCCGCACCGUACCCUGCAUACCGUAGGUGCUCACGAAACGUUCGUGAGUUCCCUGCUCUGAGGAAACAAGCUUAAAAACUCAGAAUCUAAGGUGUGAGUCUCCGCAAACCUGCUUGUUGGGCAGCGUCCCCCGCCCGGGCUAGCCCUGCACGCCCCACCCCGGAGCCACGCUUCUCCAGCCGGGACCCCUGCCUCCUUCCAGGCUAUUCUCGGAACCGCAGCCAGAGGGAAUUUUUUUUUCCUUUCCUGAAACGUAGAGCAGAUCUGGUUACUCUUCUGCACAACGCCCUAAAAUCUAGGGCCCUUCCCAUCCCUCAGAAUUUACAUCUAAUUCUCAGCUCCCCUCCGGCUUGCUGUAGCCAUCCUGGCUUUUGUUUAGCACAGCACUUACUGUUAGUGACAUUAUAUUGUAUAUUAUUAACAUAUUUGUGUUUUACAUCCCUCACUAGACCCCCAGGAAAGAGGCUUUGAUGUGUUGCCUGCUGCAAGGCUGGCUGCAUAAUUUGUGGAGCUCAGAGAAAAGUGCGGAGCUUCCUUGUUCAAAAAACAGAAAGAAAGUGCCUCUGAGGUCAUAAAAUAUAAAACUUUCUCUUUCCUCUCAGUUUCUCUCUUUUCAUAGUGUUUUUAUGUGUUAUUUAAUAUCAUUCCAAGAAAAAUUUAGAUUUAAAUUGUUAGCAUGAAGUUCACCAUCCAUCUUUACGUUGUGCAAUGCCAGUUUUAAAUACUAAUAUAAGUGCACUGAUCUCAUAUGUGGAAUCACAGAAAUUAUGCAAUUUGUACUUCAUAGCUUAUACAUGCAUAUAGAUUUUGUUUUUACCAGAACCACGCUGGUAAAAACAGAUGCUGCACAAAGUGAACUUGCCCGUUUUCAUCGCACUUUACGUGCACGAAUUCUACCUCUACUCUCGACCUGGGACUCACCGAUGCGUAAGGAAGGACUGAAAAGCAAAAGAACUAUGGACUGGCCUUUUGGCAUGAUCAGGUGUCUAAUAUAAAGAAGUGCAUGAAUAAGAAAAUAUAUGAUAUGAGUGAUGGUUAAUACUGACUGUCAACUUGAUUGGAUUGAAGGAUGCAAAGUAUUGAUCCUGGGUGUGUCUGUGAGGGUGUUGCCAAAGGAGAUUAACAUUUGAGUCAGUGGGCUGGGAAAGUUCGACCCACUGUUAAUCUAGAUGGACACCAUCUAAUCAGAUGCCAGUGCAGCUAGAAAUGUAAAGCAGACAGAAAAAUGCGAAAAGAGAGACUGGCCUAGCCUGCCAGCCUACAUCUUUCUCCCACGCUGGAUGCUUCCUGCCCUCGAACAUCAGACUCCAAGUUCUUCAGUUUGGGACUUGGACUGGCUCUCCUUGUUCCUCAGCUUGAAGACUGCCCAUUGUGGGACUUGUGAUCAUGUGCUCAGGAAGUAUGUGUGGACUUUUGUCAUGGGUU